ACUGCUGCCGCUCCCUCUAUUCCACAGCCACUGAUUCCACUGCAAGAGAGGAUUAUGGCGUGGUGAAAUCCGGCGUCCGGGCUGUGGCCAGCGGCAAGACCAGAGAUUUCGCUGCUACCCCCGCCCGUCUCCGACGCACUUAGUGAACUGGAGCUAUCGCGGGUAGCGCCAUCAGUCUCCGGCGCGCUUCGCCGCCGGGAGCCGUGGGGUGGGUUUAGAAGGCGGUGAGACGGGAGUCGUCGCCACUAGCUAGCGUCGCGCACCUUCGGCAUGCUGAGCUGCUGGGGCCGUGGUCUUAGCUGGAGGAAAGAUGGGAUCCGUCGCGGCUAGCUCUGCUCGCCUCAGGGGCGCUGCGGCACGCCCGACCGUGUCCUUGGCCGGCGGCAAGAUGGGAGCCAUCACGGCUAGUGGUGCCCGUCUCCGGCGCACCCAAGGCCAUGCCAAGGUUCUGUCCAGCCCGCUCCGUGGGAGAUGGUGCCAUGGUGGAACUGCUGCACCGUCAGCCGGUGGCCGAGAUGCCGCGCAGUCGCACUAGAAGGUGCGAGCUUGAUGCAGACUCAACAGGAAAAGGAGCAAGAACAUACCUACAGACAACGAAGUGCCAGGAGCUCCGUCCAUGCUGAAGAAUACCGUAGAUGUUGAUCCACGGAGAGGACAAUUUUCUGUCAAUCUUGAUCUAUUCUCCUCCCAUCCGGGGUGGGUAACAAUGGAAAUAAAUUGGUAGGACAAAGGAUGAAGCCACGAAAGAGAUUUUGGCGGCAAUCUGUUGUUACGCGGGAGAGAAAGAUGUGGUUUCGCUGAUUUUCUGGAACCUAACUGCAAUCAGAGAGAUAUGCUGGGUUGUUUAAGUGGUGGGGUCCACCAGGACACGUGCUGGCCUCUGAUUCGCCCUGCACGAUAGUGCGUGCUGGGAACCCAGCAGGAGAGCCCGACCCGGUAACAAUGAAAAUAGAUUGGUAGGACAAAGGAUGAAGCCACGAAAGAGAUUUUGGCGGCAAUCUGUUGUUACGCGGGAGAGAAAGAUGUGGUUUCGUUGAUUUUCUGGAACCUAACUGCAAUCAGAGAGAUAUGCUGGGUUGUUUAAGUGGUGGGGUCCACCAGGACACGUGCUGACCUCUGAUUCGCCCUGCACGAUAGUGCGUGCUGGGAACCCAGCAGGAGAGCCCGACCCGGUGGCCCUAACAGUAACUCUAUGAGGCGUCCAGUCCCGCAACGGCCACGUCGCACACAAGGCUGCAGAUGUCCCAGGACUACAGCGGUUAUAGCAGCCACAAGUCCAAAGCAAGCCACUAUGAAGUACAAUUCCUUGGCACAAGAUUCAAGUUUUGAUGGACUCUGGAAUUAACGACGGAGGAAGAAAACAGAAAGGAAAACAGCCAGGGGAUACUAGUACAAGUAAUACUAAUUGGUGAACAGUAUAAAUAUUUUAUACUGCCUCACGCCAAGGCAUCUUCAAGUGGAUUCAUCAGGAUUAAUAUUCAAUACAUGGGAGUGCAAACCAAAACACUGGUAUUCUUUUCAAGGCGCUGGUUCCGCCUUCAUCUGACGAGAAUGCUAGGACAAUUAUUCCUUACAAAAGUGGUUUACACCGGUGUUUGUCCGCAUCAUAUGGUUUAACGGACAUGGGUGAGUUGCCGCCCUGUGGCCUGGAUAACAUUGAUUCACCGGACCCGUGCUUACUCGCUGCUCAAUGGACGUGCAAACUGACGUCUCUAUGACCCAAUUGACAUCAACAUGACGUGGUUGACUCGCCCGUCCGCGCGGAUUACCGCGCCUACGAUUGACUCAUCUAUCCACACCGGCUUACAACGCCGCGGCCAACUCAUCUGUGAUUGAUUUCAGCUUCACGGUAGGCAACAGCAACUCUGUGGCGGAUAAAUUCCGGCUUAACAUAUCAGGUGAAAUGCAUCCGGUAUAUUUUUUACAUAUUCAUUUCUUUAAAGGAGCAAUUACUCUGCCUUGCAAGUUUCUCAAUGCAGGACAAGUUGUCUACUGUAAAAGAGACUAUUAUAUCACUGAGCUGUUGAAUAACUCAUACCGGUUUAUAUCACGGCCAAAUAUGGAGAGUCUCAAGCCAACUCCUCGAGUAAUCUUAAGACUCGGGGGCUACAAUAACAUGACUCGGGAACUCCGGGUCAUUGGAGGGAAUGAUAACCCGGUUCCGGAGGACACCGCCACAUUGAUGAAAAUUUAAAAGCCGUUAGAACAUUGUCAGUUCAAAAUAAAGAUUCCGGUUUAAAAUCCGGUUCAAGAGACAUCUCUCUCCUGCAAAGCUUUGAAGCUCUCAAAUCCGGUUCGAACAUCCGGCUCAAGGUAUUGGGUGAUUUGUGUGUGGUCUCCUACUGGAUUGAUACCUUGGUUCUCAGACUGAGGAAAAUACUUAUCUCUACUUUGCUGCAUCACGCUUUCCUCUUCAAGAAAAAAACCAACGCAAACUCAAGAAGUAGCAGGUCACACAUUGGAGUUGGCCUCAGGGCAUGUACAAUGCAUAGCCCCAGGGUGAUGCCUCGCAUGCCAUGUAGGAUCGGAUAUCAGAUAAAGUAGGUUCGGAUAGGGAGGCGGGAUCCUCUCCAGGAGGUGGGUGAUUGGAGAGAAAAAGUGUGGUCCAGUGACAAAAAUUGAAAAAAUUGGAGUGAAAAGUAGAGAUGCAUGUGUACUAGAGUAUUUAUUUUCUAUUUCUUAA